rnacentral:misc_RNA from 1 species
UUUCCGUAGGUGAACCUGCGGAAGGAUCAUUACCGAUGGCCGGCGUGAAAGCGUAAUCGCGGACACGACGGCCGUUACCAUCACCCUUACUUUACGCGUACCUUCUGUUCUCCUUCGGCGGGGCAACCCGCCGCUGGAACCACAAACAACCUUUUGCAUCUAGCAUUACCUGUUCUGAUAACACAUAAUAGUUACAACUUUCAACAAUGGAUCUCUUGGCUCUGGCAUCGAUGAAGAACGCAGC